rnacentral:rRNA from 1 species
UACGGAGGGUGCGAGCGUUGUCCGGAAUCACUGGGCGUAAAGGGCGCGUAGGUGGCCUGUGGAAGUCUGCGGUGAAAGCCCGGCGCUCAACGCCGGGUCGGCCGUGGAUACUCUCGGGCUUGAGCUUACUAGAGGCAGAUGGAAUUCCGGGUGUAGCGGUGGAAUGCGUAGAGAUCCGGAAGAACACCGGUGGCGAAGGCAGCCCCCUGGGCUAACACUGACGCUCAGGCACGAAAGCGUGGGGAGCAAACAGG